rfam:Schistosoma haematobium scaffold1281_12, whole genome shotgun sequence.
AUCUAUAUGACGAGUCCCAAAUAGGACGAAGCGCUCGUCAAAUUGGAU